CCCAGGAAGAUAACCCCCCACCCCCACCCCACCCAAGGAACCCCCAGCCGUGGGCCCAGGCCCCUGGUCUGGCAUACAGCAAAUGCCAGAGCGAAGGAAGCCCGCAGAGUCGCUUGGGGAAAAUCAGAAUAACAGAAAGAAAUGGAAAAUCAAAAUCCCCCACCACCACCCCCACCCCCCCAGGAAGAUAACCCCCCACCCCCACCCCACCCAAGGAACCCCCAACCUGCCCACAGCCGUGGGCCCAGGCCCCUGGUCUGGCACGCCGAUGUGAAUCGCGCGAGGCGGGACCGCAGAAUCGCCAGCGACAAUCAGUUUAUUCUGGGGAGGCUGCUACCAUUGGCGCGGAACGAGGAGGAGAGGCGCCGCCUCCGCCAAGUUUACGGUCCUAACUAAAAUGGCUCUCCUUCGAAGGCUCCUGGCCUUAGCGACAACCGACAAGGAGAGGCGCCGCCGAUUUUAAUACACAGCCCGCUUUAAGAAAAAAAUUGGACAAAAAAAAUCUUUGUUGUUGAAUUUGAAAAAGAAAAUGUUUUGAAAAAACAAACUUUUGUUGUUGAAAUUAAAA